rnacentral:rRNA from 1 species
AUUGAACGCUGGCGGCAUGCCUUACACAUGCAAGUCGAACGGUAACAGGUCUUCGGAUGCUGACGAGUGGCGAACGGGUGAGUAAUACAUCGGAACGUGCCUAGUAGUGGGGGACAACUACUCGAAAGAGUGGCUAAUACCGCAUGAGAUCUACGGAUGAAAGCAGGGGAUCGCAAGACCUCGUGCUACUAGAGCGGCCGAUGGCAGAUUAGGUAGUUGGUGGGAUAAAAGCUUACCAAGCCGCCGAUCUGUAGCUGGUCUGAGAGGACGAUCGGCCACACUGGGCCUGGGACACGGCCCAGACUCCUACGGGAGGCAGCAGUGGGGAAUUUUGGACAAUGGGCGAAAGCCUGAUCCAGCAAUGCCGCGUGCAGGAUGAAGGCCUUCGGGUUGUAAACUGCUUUUGUACGGAACGAAAAGCCCCGGGUUAAUACCCUGGGGUCAUGACGGUACCGUAAGAAUAAGCACCGGCUAACUACGUGCCAGCCGCCGCCGUAA